UAACCCACUUUUUAAAAGACCAUUUAUUUGCUACUUGAUAUUAUGUAUUCAUUCCCAAACAAAACAGAUACUUCAAUUGAAUCAUUUCCAACUGCCUUUGCCAUUUCUUGGGACCAGGUUAAACUUAUUCAAGGAUUUUGGCUGAUCGAUCAUAAUGACUAUGAGAAUGGUUUGGAUCUUCUGUUUCAUCCAGCUACUGCAAAACCUUUCUCAUGGCAGCAUUCAAAGAUUAUCCAAGCCUUUAUGAGCCAGGGCGAGCACAGACAAGCCCUCAGAUAUAUUCAGACAAUGAAGCCAA